AUAUUGGGCUGAGCUGAGCGGCCCAAUUCAUAACUCUUCACCCACUUCAGCUAAGUCCCAUAUUCCAUAUUCCACCGACACAUAUAGGACUUCGAUCAGUCCUAUGAUGUUUUUACUUUCCUUUCUUCUUCGUUUCUUAACCCUAAUGAUACCUUCUUCUUUCCCUUUCUUCCAUUAACAAAAAAUGCCAAAGAUAGCUUGUGUAUCAUCAGUAAUUCCUACACCCCCUUCAAGCGUAGGGAUAGUAGUGACACCUAACUUGCUAAGAAGAUGAUGAUGAGAAGGACCAGAUAAAGAUUUGGUAAAAAUGUCGGCAAGCUGGUCCUUUGACGACACAAAGGAGAGAGAUAGCAACCCUGAGAGAUACUGUUGCCUAACAAAAUGGAAAUCUAGCUCAACGUGUUUUAUUCCCUCAUGAAACAUGGGAUUCCGAGUGAUAUCUAUUGCCGCCUUACUGUCGGAGUGAAUAGGCACUGGGAUCUGAGAAAGGAUAGACAGAUCUGAAAGUAAUCAUGUCAACCAGGUAAGUUCUGCAACAAGACGCCACAUUGAGCGGUAUGCAGCCUCAGCGGAAGAUAAAGAGAUGGAAUCUUGUUUCUUAGACUUCCAAGAGACAGGUGAACCUCCUAAGCUAGUAAAGAACCCACUUACAGACCGACGAGUGUCACAACAUGUCGCCCAAUUUGUAUCGCAAAAAGAGGAGAGGGAAAAAUUUGGUGAAGCAUUGAGAAAGAUGCCAUGGCAUGGGUAUUUCUUCAGAUAACUUUGCUGAUGGAUCCAUUAGAGAAGAAACUGAAGAAAGAUGGGAUAUAUCAAAUUCAGCUAAAAGAUCCAAGGUGAUAGAGUUUGGCACUAUUUGACCUGCUAAACAUCUGCUAUAGACUGUGCGAGAGGUCCUUUGUUGUUUUAGAGUGUAUCACACUGUCAAAGAAUGUCCAUUGUUAGAGCAUUUGAGAUCCAAGAUAUAACCGUAUCAUUGACACAACUCUACUGUUCAUACCCAGCAGAGUUCAGUUUGGAGAUUUGCAAGCUCCAUUGAUGAAACCAAGUUUCUUCUUGGCUGACAAAGAUAGAAGGAUAGAUUUCCUCCACCCUGGGUAUCCUCUUCCAUAAAAAACAGUAUUGCCUAGAGUCAUUCCUGGUGAAUCUGAAUUAUUGAGGUGAUAAGGGUGAUUAAUAUCACAGGUGAUUGUCUUCUCAACAUAGUUUGUUCCAAUAGCAAUUGGCGUUGCUUCAAAUAUUUUGAUCUGUUGUAGAAGAAACACAGAAGAUGAAUUUUGGUGAAAAACUUUGAAUCGAGCUUACUGCUCUGAUACCAUGUAUGAAAUGUAAUUUAGAUUGUGAUUGGAAAAUUUCUGUGUAUUGAAUCUCUGUAACUACAAUCCCUUUAUACGAUAAUGUAAAGAAUAAACUUAUCAAAGAAAAAAAAAA